UACGUAGGGGGCAAGCGUUGUCCGGAUUUAUUGGGCGUAAAGAGCGUGUAGGCGGCCAUGCAGGUCAGCUGUGAAAACUCGAGGCUCAACCUCGAGACGUCGGUUGAAACCGUAUGGCUAGAGUCCGGAAGAGGAGAGUGGAAUUCCCGGUGUAGCGGUGGAAUGCGCAGAUAUCAGGAGGAACACCGAUGGCGAAGGCAGCUCGCUGGGACGGUACUGACGCUUGAGGCGCGAAAAGCCGUGGGGGAGCGAACAGG
rnacentral:rRNA from 1 species